rnacentral:rRNA from 1 species
AUUGAACGCUGGCGGCAUGCUUUACACAUGCAAGUCGAACGGUAACAGGCCGCAAGGUGCUGACGAGUGGCGAACGGGUGAGUAAUGCAUCGGAACGUGCCCAGUCGUGGGGGAUAACGCAGCGAAAGCUGGGCUAAUACCGCAUACGAUCUAUGGCUGAAAGCGGGGGACCGUAAGGCCUCGCCCGAUUGGUACGGCCGAUGUCGGAUUAGGUAGUUGGUGGGGUAAAGGCCCACCAAGCCGACGAUCUGUAGCUGGGCUGAGAGGACGACCAGCCACACUGGGACUGAGACACGGCCCAGACUCCUACGGGAGGCAGCAGUGGGGAAUUUUGGACAAUGGGGGCAACCCUGAUCCAGCAAUGCCGCGUGCAGGAAGAAGGCCUUCGGGUUGUAAACUGCUUUUGUACGGAACGAAACGGCUCUGGUUAAUACCCGGGGCUAAUGACGGUACCGUAAGAAUAAGCACCGGCUAACUACGUGCCAGCAGCCGCAGUAACAC